rnacentral:rRNA from 1 species
UACAGAGGUCUCAAGCGUUGUUCGGGUUCAUUGGGCGUAAAGGGUGUGUAGGUGGCGCCGUAAGUCGGGUGUGAAAUUUCGGAGCUUAACUCCGAAACUGCAUUCGAUACUGCGGUGCUUGAGGACUGGAGAGGAGACUGGAAUUCAUGGUGUAGCAGUGAAAUGCGUAGAGAUGUGGAGGAACACCAGUGGCGAAGGCGACUUUCUGGGCUGUAACUGACGCUGAGGCGCGAAAGCGUGGGGAGCAAACAGG